AACGAGCUAGGUGGAAGCUUGAGGACGAAGCGGGUCAAACAAAUCAAUAAGGAAAAGUAACGCAUAGUUUGGAUGCGAGGAUAAAUCGGCCUAUGAAUUAGCGAUGCUAUGAAUUAGCGAUUAUUGAGACAAGGUAUUAAAACGGGUCAAUAUGUUGAUCCGAACCAGGUGAAUGUUAUAUGCUUCCGCAUGAAGAUCAAGCCACAAGCAAGAACCGAACACACCUCUCAAUGAAGCUUCCGCAUUCGAUCUAGUUUUCUUUUAAUAAAAGUGGAUUAUGUAAACACUUUUAACGAUGUUUUGGAUGUUGUAAACAUGUUUAAAUACUUAUGAUGUAAAAGUUUUUGUUAAGUGGCAUUUUUCAUAUAAAAUGCUUACUUUAAUGUUAUGUAAAUGUUAAAAAUUA